AGCUCAAUUUUGAAUCUGGCGGUCAUUUCGGCCGUCCGAGUUGUAAUCUAGAGAAGCGUCUUCCGCGCUGGACCGUGUACAAGUCUCCUGGAAGGGAGCGUCAUAGAGGGUGAGAAUCCCGUCUUUGGCAUGGACUACCAGUGCUAUGUGAUGCGCUCUCGACGAGUCGAGUUGUUUGGGAAUGCAGCUCAAAAUGGGUGGUAAAUUCCAUCUAAAGCUAAAUACAGGCGAGAGACCGAUAGCGAACAAGUACCGUGAGGGAAAGAUGAAAAGAACUUUGGAAAGAGAGUUAAACAGUACGUGAAAUUGCUGAAAGGGAAACGCUUGAUGUCAGUCACGUUCGCCAGGGAUCAACCUCGCUUUAUCGCUGGGUGCAUUUCUUGGUCGGACGGGUCAGCAUCAGUUUCAAUCGUCGUAGAAUGGUCAAGGGAACGUGGCACCUCUAGGGGUGUGUUAUAGCCCUCGAUCGUAUGCGUCGGUGGGGACUGAGGAACUCGGCACGACCUUUACUGGUCUGUGUCUAGGAGGCCUGGCAUANAGGCCUUAAGCGACCCGUCUG
rnacentral:rRNA from 1 species